rnacentral:rRNA from 1 species
GGCGCGUACGUGGACCCACUUGCUGGGCGAGCGGAGGCCGGCCGCAGUGAAGAGGCCCAAUCGACUGUUUACCAAAAACACAGGACUCUGCAGAAGGCGAGAGCCGACGUAUAGGGUCUGACGCCUGCCCGGUGCCGGAAGGUCACGCGGAGGGGUUAGCGCGAGCGAAGCCCCGAAGCCAAGCCCCGGUAAACGGCGGCCGUAACUAUAACGGUCCUAAGGUAGCGAAAUUCCUUGUCGGGUAAGUUCCGACCUGCACGAAAGGCGCAACGAAUUGGGCGCUGUCUCGACCAUGGACCCGGUGAAAUUCCACUAGUCGUGAAGAUGCGACUUACCCGCGGAAGGACGGAAAGACCCCGUGAACCUUCACUGCAGCUUGGCAUUGGCCGCUGGCCCGUCGCGUAGAGGAUAGGCGGGAGGCUUCGAAGCCCGGGCGCCAGCCCGGGUGGAGCCGACCUUGGAAUACCGCCCUCGGCGCGCCGGCGUCCUAACCCCAUGCCGUCAUCCGGAUGGGGGACCGUGCCAGGUGGGUAGUUUGACUGGGGCGGUCGCCUCCUAAAGGGUAACGGAGGCGCGCGAAGGUCCGCUCGGGACGGUCGGCAACCGUCCUCUUGAGUGCAAGAGCAUAAGCGGGCUUGACUGCGAGGCCUACAAGCCGAGCAGGUGCGAAAGCAGGCUCUAGUGAUCCGGCGGCCCCGCGUGGGUGGGCCGUCGCUCAACGGAUAAAAGGUACUCCGGGGAUAACAGGCUGAUCUUGCCCAAGAGUCCACAUCGACGGCAAGGUUUGGCACCUCGAUGUCGGCUCAUCGCAUCCUGGGGCUGGAGCAGGUCCCAAGGGUACGGCUGUUCGCCGUUUAAAGCGGUACGCGAGCUGGGUUCAGAACGUCGUGAGACAGUUCGGUCCCUAUCCUCCGCGGGCGCAGGAGAAUCGAGGGAGGCUGCCCCUAGUACGAGAGGACCGGGGUGGACGCACCUCUGGUGAACCGGUUGUCGACCAACGGCACGGCCGGGUAGCCACGUGCGGCGCGGAUAACCGCUGAAGGCAUCUAAGCGGGAAGCCGUUCCCGAGAUCAGUUCUCCUUCCGGUAAGGGCCCAGGUAGACUACCUGGUCGAUAGGCCGCAGGUGCAAGCACGGCGACGUGCUCAGCCGAGCGGUACUAAUAGCCCGAGCUCUUACCCGC